UAGGUCAUACCAUGUCAGAAAAAAAAUGGGC
rnacentral:piRNA from 1 species